UAACCUAAUUCGGCCUCCAUUUUUCUAAAUGGCAAAAGUAAAUAUUGUGUACGCCGUACAGGACUUCUUCGGAUUUUUUUGUGUUCGGCGCGCCGCCGUUGCCCUCCGGUGCAAAAGGAAUUACGUAUACACAACGUUCAUCAGCCUCACAUGAUAUUGUGUGCUGCGCUGUUGUGAGGAUGCACUAGUGGAUUGGUGGUUGUAAAAUUGUGAUAUUGGCAAGGGGCUGCGGACAUUUUUCUGUGGAGGGACAAGAAAAUUACUGCCAGUGUGCUUGGAUUUGUCACUUCACUUUGGGUGCUUUUUUAGUUGCAUCAGAACCAUUUGCUUACGUUUGUUUGCCAUAUACUGAUCCUUGCAUUGGCAGUCCUUUUCCUUUGGUCUGAUGCAUCCACCUUCAUCAACAAAUCUCCACCCCAAAUUCCAGAUGUCAUUCUGCCUGAAGACAUUGUCCUGGGUGUUGCUGCUGCAGUCAGGACUGAAAUAGACAAAGGUCUUGAAAAUAAUUUCUGUUGCUGCUGUACUCAGGACUGAAAGGAAUUUGAAAUUUGAGUUCUAGGUUUGCUUAAAUUCCCUCGAGUCUCAAUCGUCUUGGAUUUGGUUGACAGAACUCAUGAAGACACAACCGCGGACACCCAUAUUUCUUGAUGCCCGAUGAUAGACUGAGUGCUUCUUCAACAGGUCAAUUUUCUUGAUGAUGCAAAAAAUAUACUCUAAACUAAUAACACACGAAAUUUAAAUUCAAGAUUCAUUUCCUAUCCAUUUCUUUAUUCUUUUUAGGUAUUUUUAAUCUUUUUGUCGUGGCCAAGAUGUGAGCAAAUUAAAAAAAAAAUAUUUUUGUUAUUGGUUCAAUCAGUUUCUUAACAAAAGUAGGCUGAAGGAUGAUUCUUGUUAUUUUUUGGAUAAUAUAAGGAUAUUUUUUGCUCACUUAGAUAAUAUAAGGAUGUACGUUAGAUUUGAGUCAUAGUUGAGGAAUGAUUUUAGUCAAAAACUCUAAGAAAUAUCAUGUCAGAUUUCAGAGAAUCUUAAAUGCUACCAAAUAUGUCGAGAAAGCUGGGUUUAGCAUGGCUGAGUUAAAUGAGAUGGAGCAUUUCUCAAUCAAGUAAAUUUACGUGAAGCUCCAUCAGAAGGUCGAAUGGAGAAGAUUUCUGUGUUAUAGCUUGGGUCACCUAGAUGUAUCUUAAUCUUGAGACUGGCUGCACUAAACAAACUGCACACUAGGGAUAGAGUGCUGAAAUGGGGAAUGGUUGUGGAUCCUAUCUGUCCUUUCAGAACUCUCAUCUUUUUUUUUGCUUAUACAGUCUCUGCUCACAUAUGGCAAAAACUCCUCAUAUGCUACAGAUAAGAGCAGUAGAGUUGAAGUUUACAGGAUGAUACUUGCAGCCACUAUUUACCGUCUGUGGAGGGAAAGGAACAUGAGAGUCUUCCAGCAUCAACAAAAAACCAGUAGAGCUACUCACUAAGCUGAUUAUCCGACAAGUUCAUGCUAGACGUAGUAGACAUCUAAGGUGGCUAUUAGAGACUCGUAAUUUCUACCCUACUUAGAAGGACAGGAAUAUUCUGUGUACGUGCCGUACUCUAGGCAGUAGUUACCUCUGAUACUGUGAGGUUAGGAAAGGCUUGUAGCUUGCUGAAGUGAUGCGGCAUCACUCAGUUUUUUUCUUUUCCUGUAUUCCAAUGUUCAUUUUGGUUUAUAAAAUUGUUUGGUUACCCCCCCAAAAAAAGGGGUUCACAAAGAACAUAUAGAUGUGGCACAAGGUGAUGAAGCAAGAAUGGAUAUCAGAGUCAUGGCUUUCAGCUCGCUUAACUGAUUGUCCACCCUUUAAUGCUAAAAAGGCAUAGAGAGAACUUACCAAUGCACGUCAACAUCUUUGCUGCAAUGGCAGGUAAUAACUGCUAUUUAGAAACUUAUAUCAUCGCACAGUUCGUAUAGAAAACAAAAGAAAUCUAGAAGACCAGUUUUCUUCCUGCCAUUAUAAAUAAAUGAUGAACAAUUUGAUUUGCUUCUCUUUUGCAUAAUCAAAUUGUUCAUCUGUACACUUUUUCUAUAUAAAUUUGUUGUUUUGUUCUUUAAUCUUAUACCAUUAGACACAAUUUAUUAACACCUUCCCCAACAUCUUCUUUUGGAUUUGAAAGGAGAUUUUAGAGAGACAACAAAGACAACCUAUCAUAGAGCAUAAACUGUUGAUACUGCAGUAUGGCAUUGAGUUAAAUAAAAACCCAAGCAUAGUGCUGUG